AGCCCCGUGGUGUAGUGGACUAUCAUCGUGCCCUUUGGAGGCAUGGACCGCAGUUCGAAUCUGCGCGGGGCUA
rnacentral:tRNA from 1 species